rnacentral:rRNA from 1 species
GGAGUUAGCCGGUGCUUCUUCUGUGAGUGAUGUCCUUCCUGCCGGCUAUUAACCCGCAGGCCUUCUUCCUCACUGAAAGUGCUUUACAACCCGAAGGCCUUCUUCACACACGCGGCAUGGCUGGAUCAGGGUUGCCCCCAUUGUCCAAUAUUCCCCACUGCUGCCUCCCGUAGGAGUCUGGGCCGUGUCUCAGUCCCAGUGUGGCUGAUCAUCCUCUCAGACCAGCUACGGAUCGUCGCCUUGGUGAGCCGUUACCUCACCAACCAUCUAAUCCGACAUAGGCUCAUCCGAUAGCGCGAGGCCCGAAGGUCCCCCGCUUUCCCCCGUAUGGCGUAUGCGGUAUUAGCCUGGGUUUCCCCAGGUUAUCCCCCACUACCGGGCAGAUUCCUAUGCAUUACUCACCCGUCCGCCGCUCGCCACCAGGGAGCAAGCUCCCCGUGCUGCCGCUCGACUUGCAUGUGUUAGGCCUGCCGCCAGCGUUCAAUCUGAGCCAUAAUCAAACUCUGA